UACGUAGGGUGCAAGCGUUUGUCCGGAAUUAUUGGGCGUAAAGAGCUCGUAGGCGGUUUGUCGCGUCUGCUGUGAAAACGCGAGGCUCAACCUCGCGCCUGCAGUGGGUACGGGCAGACUAGAGUGCGGUAGGGGAGAUUGGAAUUCCUGGUGUAGCGGUGGAAUGCGCAGAUAAUCAGGAGGAACACCGAUGGCGAAAG
rnacentral:rRNA from 1 species